CCAAUUAAUUUAACUUGGGAGUCAGAACAUGGGUGAUAAGGUCCGUGUUCGAAAGGGAAACAGCCCAGACCACCAGCUAAGGUCCCAAAAUAUAUGUUAAGUGGAAAAGGAUGUGGCGUUGCCCAGACAACUAGGAUGUUGGCUUAGAAGCAGCCAUCAUUUAAAGAGUGCGUAAUAGCUCACUAGUCGAGUGACACUGCGCCGAAAAUGUACCGGGGCUAAACAUAUUACCGAAGCUGUGGAUUGUCCUUUGGACAAUGGUAGGAGAGCGUUCUAAGGGCGUUGAAGCAUGAUCGUAAGGACAUGUGGAGCGCUUAGAAGUGAGAAUGCCGGUGUGAGUAGCGAAAGACGGGUGAGAAUCCCGUCCACCGAUUGACUAAGGUUUCCAGAGGAAGGCUCGUCCGCUCUGGGUUAGUCGGGUCCUAAGCUGAGGCCGACAGGCGUAGGCGAUGGAUAACAGGUUGAUAUUCCUGUACCACCU
rnacentral:rRNA from 1 species